UAAAACAAUAGAAAACGUAAAAUCAAAAAGACCUUUCCCCACCUCUUCUCACUUGUAACUACAUCUGUUGAAUAUUUUCUUUUAUUUGGGAACUUGGAACCCACAAUUUUUUGUGUUAAAAUAGUUUUCUUCCCAUAGUUCCUUCAAGUAACUGAGCUCCUCGAAGGCCUUUGUUCUUUCUUCUGCGGACUUAGACCCUCAAAACUGUUGUCAACUUUGUAUCCUCAUUUUUCCUUCUUUGUUCCUUUUUCCUUCCUUUUUCUUUUAGUUUUGCGAUUUUGGUGACUAUAGUUCUCAUAAAUAAGAAACCAAUGUUCUUUUUUGUGUUUUUUUGCCUUCAUUCCAUACCCCUUUGAUCCUUCUGAAUGAAUGGAUCGACUUCCCUCGGGGUUUCUUCCACUCAGAAGGUCGGCAAAUCCCUUCCUCUCCCCAUGCUGCCAUCGCAUGUGCCGCUUCAUUUGCUUCCCAAGCUUUUUGACGACGGUUAGUGAAUCUCCUUCUAAAAUGAUGUCUUGAAACCCUAAAUCUUCUGCGAAAGCUACUCCAUGAAGGCAUGCAUAGGCUUCUACUAUUGUUAAAUAUCGUAUGUUCUUAAUCAGAACAAGCUUUUUGCAACGUAAUAAUCGUGGAAGAAAUGUGCCGUUGAUUCUUCGUCUUCACCACAUGUCGGGCACAGCGCUUCAAAUCUGAGUUUUCAAAAUUUAAGAUUACUUAGAGUAGGAAUGAAAUUGUUUGUAAUCUGCCAUAGGUUGAUUCUAAUUUUGUUGGGAAUUUUUGGACCCCAUAGUGUUGUAUAAUAAUUUUUCAUUUGGUCUGUCACUUUUGUAUUUUCAUUUCCCAGCAAAUUUAAAUCUUCAGUAAGACACCACUUGUAUCCACUCUUUUCCGUGUAUUUGCUAGUAUUGUCUCCUCGCCAGACCUUAGUGUCUGGCUGCAAAGUGUUCCACAGAGGGAUGGAUCGAAUACUUUCUAUUUGGUCUUCAUAAAAAGAUUUCUUAACACAUCUUCCUUCCAGGAUACAGAAGUCAUGUAUCGUUCCAGAUGUUAACAGUCUUUCCGUCGCCUAUUCUUCAACCAACCCCUGAUUCUAAUAAGUCCCUUGCACCCUAUAUACUUCUCCAAGUAAAAGAAGGGUGAGUUCCUAACUCAGCAUUUAAAAAAUCACCAUGUGGGUAGUAGACUUUCAUUUCCCAGCAAAUUUAAAUCUUCAGUAAGACACCGCUUGUAUCCACUCUUCUACGUGUAUUUGCUAGUAUUGUCUCCUCGCCAGACCUUAGUGUCUGGCUGCAAAGUUUUCCACAGAGGGAUGGAUCGGAUCCUUUCUAUUUGGUCUUCAGAAAAAAGAUUUCUUAACCCAUCUUCCUUCCAGGAUAUAGAAGCCAUGUGUCGUUUCAGAUGUUAACAGUCUUUCUGUCGCCUAUUCUUCAACCAACCCCUGAUUCUAAUAAGUCCCUUGCACCCUAUAUAGUUCUCCAGGUAAAAGAAGGGUGAGUUCCUAACUCAGCAUUUAAAAAAUCACCACGUGGGUAGUAGAUUUUCAUUUCCCAGCAAAUUUAAAUCUUCAGUAAGACACCACUUGUAUCCACUCUUCUCCGUGUAUUUGCUAGUAUUGUCUCCUCGCCAGACCUUAGUGUCUGGCUGCGAAGUGUUCCACAGAGGGAUGGAUCAAAUCCUUUCUAUUUGGUCUUCAUAAAAAAGAUUUUUCAACACAUCUUCUUUCCAGGAUAUUGAAGCCAUGUGUCGUUCCAGAUGUUAACAGUCUUUCCGUCGCCUAUUCUUCAAUCAACCCCUGAUUCUAAUAAGUCCCUUGCACCCUAUAUAGUUCUCCAGGUAAAAGAAGGGUGAGUUCCUAACUCAGCAUUUAAAAAAUCAUCACGUGGGUAGUAGAUAGCUUUCAUGACUUGCGCUAGUAGACAAUUAGGAUCGGUAAGCAGUUUUCAUCCUUGCUUUGUAUUCAUUUUUCCAUUUGUCCUGAUAAAGCUAGAUAGACUAGUGAUUUUUCAAAACUUACCAUUUGUCCUGAUAAAGCUUCGUAUUCAUUUACCAUCUUUUUUUAUUGCUAGAGCCUCCUUUUUUGUUGUGUUCCCGAAUAAAAUACUGUUAUCAAAAAAGAAAAGAUGAGUUAAUUGGAAAUCACUUCGCCCUACUUUCACCCGUUCAAUUUUCCCUUCCCUUUUCGCUAAAUUUAGUAGCCUUGAGAAACCCUCUGCACAUAUUAGAAAUAGAUAUGGGCUUAGAGGAUCCCCUGUCUUAAUCCUCUAGAUUGCCUGAAUUCCCUUCCUUUUCAACCAUUAAGGACCACCGAGUAUGAGACGUUCAAACAUUUUAGUAUCAACGAGAUCCAUUUGUCACAGUAGCCAAGAGUUCUCAUCAUUUUUUCAAUAAAAUGUCAUUCAACCUUAUCGUAUGCUUUCAUAUAUAAUUUUAACGCGAAAGACCCUUUGCUUGACCUCUUUUUCUUAAAAGAAUGCAAUAAUUCAUAGGCCACAAGAAUAUUAUCAGUAAUUUGUCCACCAGGCACAAAUGUUUCCUGUGUUUCUUUAAUGCAAAGAUUUAGGGUCUUUCUAAAUCUAUUAGCUAUUGCCUUUGAAAUUAUUUUGUAUAGCACAUUACAUAAACUAAUUGGUCUAAAUUGGCCCAUAUUUCUUGGUGUCAUAACCUUAGGAAUUAAAACAAUAUUCGUUUUGUUAAUAAUUCCUAUUUCUUUUUUAUUGUUUAGAAUUUCAGUGCAGAAUUUUGUCGCCUUUUUUCGUACUAUAUGCCAGAAUUUCUGAUAAAAGAGGGCAGAAAAACCAUCGUUAUCUGAAGCUUUAAGAGGUUGCAUUGAUUUUAAUGCUACCUAAAAAUCAUCUUCCUUAAACGGGGCUGAUAGCUCUUUAUUUAUUCGAUCUGAUAUGCACGGUUGAAUUUCCCUCAAUAGAUUCUCAUUUCCCUAUAAUUGAUUUGAUGAAAAGAUUUCCAUAAAAUAUUUAGAUGCUACCUCUAAUAAUUUAUCAUCUCCUUCAAUCCAUCUAUCUCUUUCAUCUUUGAGCCCCUUUAUCAUAUUUCUUUUUUUCCGAAAGGAAGCAAAAUUAUGGAAGAAAGUUGAAUUUCUAUAGCCCAUCUUAAGCCAAUUAGCUUUAGCUCGCUGUUCCUAGAAAAUUUCUUCUUUAUCAGCCUUCAUAUUUAGCACGAGCUUAACUUCCAUAAUUUUCAAUAAAUGUUCAUCACUUGGAUUUUCCAAAUAAAGCUCGAUAAGCUUUUUGUUUAAGCUUUCUCUUCUUCUGCUUUGCCUUCUUUUAUUUAUCUUAUCCAACUCUUGUAAUGCUUGCUUAAUCUUGUGAGUUUUUCUAGCAAUUCGUCCUAGUUUAAUUCCCAUACUUGCUUUAUUUUCUCUUCAAACCUUCUUCAAAUAUCUGAUUUGCUUUGAACUAGAAAUGAGAGUUCUUCCUAUUCCUCCUAUCAUUUUAGCUAGCUAACGUAUCCAAAAGGAGAGGGCAGUGAUUCAAGAAAUUGCGGGUUAAAUGUCUCAUUAAAUAUCUGGAAAAUGAUCCCACCAUUCCGGGUUUGCCACUCCUCUAUCCAAUCUUUCUCUCAUAUUAUUAUCAGCAAGUCUUCCUUUUUUCCAAGUAAACCAUUGUCCUGUGAAUCCUAUAUCAUUCAAGUCACAUUCUUCAAGUACUUCUCGAAAAGCUACCAUUUCUUUCUUCUCUUUGGCUACCCCCCUUUUUUUUUCAAAUGAGAACAUAAUUUCAUUAAAAUCCCCCAUUACUAACCAUGGCAUUUGAUGGCAUUCUUUCACUCUUCUCAGCAUAUUCCAUGAAUCCCUUCUAAGAUGUUCAGUUGAGGCCCCAUAGAAUCCUUUAAACCUCCAUUCAAUCAUGUCAUUGUCAUCUCCCACCACCAUAUCAAUAUGGGAUUUUGAAAAACUAGUAAGGUUUACUUAAAUUCCUUGUUUCCAACUAAGGGAAAGGCCUCCUCGUGAUCAUUCUGUACUUAUAUCAAUUCCAUUGUCGAAUCCACACUUUUUCUGAAUCCUCUCCAUCUUUCUUUCAUUAACUUUUGUUUCAAUAAGGAAUGAAAGUUGGGAUUGGUGUUUUCUCAAAAAUAUUGAGACGUCUUAUAGCUCGUGAUUGCCCCAACCCGUGAACAUUCCAGCUAAGGAUUUUAAUUGAGUCCGGUCAGCCUGCUUAUUAGUGGUCGUUGAUAAUCUAUUUUCUGGAUUUGUCACCAUGCUACUUGUCUGUACAUCUUCAAGGAUAUCUAGUCUUUGUCGUUUUUUCCCUUCCAAUAUUCCAACUGGGUUGUCUUCGUCAUCUUCAAACUCUUCCUCCUCUCUAUUGUUAUUCAUUCCCAUCUCUAUGUCACCCUCGACAUAUCUCUAUUAUAGCCCUCUAAAACUUCCUUCCCUUUCGAUCGUAUAAUAAUUUUUUUUCUCGUAUUAUGUGUUUGGUCCUUCAUUGUAAUAUCCGUGGAUUCGUUCCUUCUUCUUACCUCUGCCCCUGCUUCACUUUUUACCAUGGUUUUUGAUUCCUCUCUUAACCAUUUGCUUUCAUUCUGCAUGGAUCUUGUAAUGGCCCAAAUUUUCCCGGCCCACAUAUAUUUCAAAAAGAGAAAAAAACAAAUAAAUAAAAAAUAAUAGAAUCCAAUUAAAAGUCCAUUUUAAGGUCCAUUUACAUCUGACCCAUUACACUGGUCCGAAUACUAAACUUAGACAAGACCCAACUAUACUGGCCCAAAUGGCCCAAAUAUUUACAGAAACCUUUAGGGUUUCUAGAUUCUUCUAACGCCACACAGUCAGCAACUCUAGCACAUCCGCACGCCUCCAACCGCCCCGCAAUGCACUGCAUCUGCGCCACACGUGCACCUCAACGCCAGGCUGGCUCAUUAUCUGCAGCAAACUCAGCAAAACAACAAAGAAAUCAAAUAACAGAAAGGCCAGCGAUUAAGAAAAAGAUUAUUUUGCCGUAAAUCGAUAAUAUUUUGGCUAUAUAAAGCCAUUUCUGAAUCUGUAAAAGGGAUCUUUUUUUCGGGAGAUAUUAAAUACAAGCAAAAAAAAAAUUGAAAGGUGACUGAAGUUCUUCUUGCUCUUUUCGCAUUUUUUGUUUCUACAGUUAUUUUAAUUCUGUAUUCAAGUAGAAAAAAGGAAUAAAAGAAAGAGGUUGGGGAUGGAAACAUACCUGGUGACCACAUCCUUUUUCUCUCCGUUGUCAUUGGAGUUGAGAGGGGAUCGGAGGGCCUGGAGAGCAAACGGCGGAGCGGGGCAGAGGAGAGUGUUUUAGUUUACGUUUUUUUUUGUUUUGUUUUGUUUUUUUUAAAAUGAAAUGGCUGCUAGUUUUAGGGUUAUUUUUGGUCUAUAGGUGUAGUAAUAAACGACGUCGUUUUAUGCCAAUUUGAUGGUCUCAAAAGGGCGCCGUUUGAAGCCAAGAUCUAUGCGGUGACUCGACCCGAAAGAAGGAUCCGCGCAUUUCCAUUCAAUGGUUUAUUUUUGAAAUUAGUCCCUUCGCAUUAGAUUUUAUUUCAAAUCGGUUUUCCUCCAGUUUUUUUAAAUCGUAUCGCAUAUUUUAUUUUAUUUUCAUUUGGAUCCAAACCUAAACGGCGCCGUUUUCUAUGAGUGGUUUUGAAUGUUCAGAUUUCGCGCUUAAUUGCAAUUUUAGUCCCUCAUUUUCUAAGUCGAUUACCAAUUUAGUUCAUCUUUAUUUUUCCUUUUAUUUCUAUUUGUAGUGUUUUAUUUUUAUUUUUUUAAUUUCAAUAUCAUUUUUAAUCCUAUUAUUAUUAUUAUUAUUAUUAUUAUUAUUAUUAUUUCUCCUUUAUAUUUUAAAUUAUG